UCCCUGGUGGUCUAGCGGCUAAGACUCCAAGCUCCCAAUGCAGGGGAUCCAGGUUCAAUCCCUGGUCAAGGAA
rnacentral:tRNA from 1 species